AGUGAACGCUGGCGGUAGGCCUAACACAUGCAAGUCGAACGGCAGCACAGUAAGAGCUUGCUCUUACGGGUGGCGAGUGGCGGACGGGUGAGGAAUACAUCAGAAUCUACUUUUUCGUGGGUGAUAACGUAGGGAAACUUACGCUACUACCGCAUACGACCUACGGGUGAAAGCAGGGGAUCUUCGGACCUUGCGCGAUUGAAUGAGCCGAUGUCGGAUUAGCUAGUUGGCGGGGUAAAGGCACACCAAGGCGACGAUCCGUAGCUGGUCUGAGAGGAUGAUCAGCCACACUGGAACUGAGACACGGUCCAGACUCCUACGGGAGGCAGCAGUGGGGAAUAUUGGACAAUGGGCGCAAGCCUGAUCCAGCCAUACCGCGUGAGUGAAGAAGGUCUUCGGGUUGUAAAGCCCUUUUGUUGGGAAAGAACAGCAGCAGAUUAAUCCCUGGACGUCCUGACGGUACCUAAACAAAAAGCCACGGCUAACUUCGUG
rnacentral:rRNA from 1 species